rnacentral:rRNA from 1 species
UGGGGAAUAUUGCACAAUGGGGGAAACCCUGAUGCAGCGACGCCGCGUGAGCGAAGAAGGCUUUCGAGUCGUAAAGCUCUGUCCUAUGAGAAGAUAAUGACGGUAUCAUAGGAGGAAGCCCUGGCUAAAUACGUGCCAGCAGCCGCGGUAAUACGUAUGGGGCGAGCGUUGUCCGGAAUUAUUGGGCGUAAAGGGUACGUAGGCGGUUCUUUAAGUCAGGUGUCAAAGCGUGGAGCUUAACUCCAUUAAGCACUUGAAACUGAAAGACUUGAGUGAAGGAGAGGAAAGUGGAAUUCCUAGUGUAGCGGUGAAAUGCGUAGAUAUUAGGAGGAAUACCGGUGGCGAAGGCGACUUUCUGGACUUUUACUGACGCUCAGGUACGAAAGCGUGGGGAGCAAACAGG